rnacentral:lncRNA from 1 species
GCACAUGGAACAUGGAGAUGGAGAUCCCAUGGUGAACAGGUUCUAUGGAGAUGGAGAUCACCAUAUGAAAACGGGCCAUACUGUGUCACAGCUGUGUGAAUGCUAUUCUGUUUAUCUUUUACUUUCUGUAUGCUGUGAUGUUAGAAGUAGAACGAUCCCUCACAAAGUUUAAGUUAGUAUGCCCUCCCAACUAAAACUUGCACCGUCCCAUGUCUUGUACAAUUAGUGGUGGGUCUGUGAAAUUAGGGUGCCACUAGUUUUCCUUGACUAGACGGGUUUGUGUCGGACACUUACACGCAUAAGGGUUGGUUUGCUUAACAAGGUUAUCUUAACGGUUAAGGACCUUGGGGCAUAGAGGUUGGGCGCCGAGACAUAGAGAUGUCACCC